rnacentral:rRNA from 1 species
UACGAAGGGGGCUAGCGUUGCUCGGAAUCACUGGGCGUAAAGCGCACGUAGGCGGAUUGCUAAGUCAGGGGUGAAAUCCUGGAGCUCAACUCCAGAACUGCCUUUGAUACUGGCGACCUUGAGUCCGGGAGAGGUGAGUGGAAUUCCGAGUGUAGAGGUGAAAUUCGUAGAUAUUCGGAAGAACACCAGUGGCGAAGGCGGCUCACUGGACCGGUAUUGACGCUGAGGUGGCGAAAGCGUGGGGAGCAACAGG